AUUGAACGCUGGCGGCAUGCCUUACACAUGCAAGUCGAACGGCAGCACGGGGGCAACCCUGGUGGCGAGUGGCGAACGGGUGAGUAAUACAUCGGAACGUGCCCCGUACGCGGGGGACGAACCAGUCGAAAGACUGGCUAAUACCGCAUACGCUCCACGGAGGAAAGACAGGGGAGUCGCAAGACCUUGCACUAUGGGAGCGGCCGAUGCCCGAUUAGCUAGUUGGUGAGGUAAAGG
rnacentral:rRNA from 1 species